UAGGGAAUCUUCGGCAAUGGGGGGAACCCUGACCGAGCAACGCCGCGUGAGUGAAGAAGGUUUUCGGAUCGUAAAGCCCUGUUGUUAAGGAAGAACGAGUGUGAGAAUGGAAAGUUCAUGCUGUGACGGUACUUAACCAGAAAGGGACGGCUAACUACGUGCCAGCAGCCGCGGUAAUACGUAGGUCCCGAGCGUUGUCCGGAUUUAUUGGGCGUAAAGCGAGCGCAGGCGGUUAGAAAAGUCUGAAGUGAAAGGCAGUGGCUCAACCAUUGUAGGCUUUGGAAACUGUUGAACUUGGGGGCAGAAGGGGAGAGUGGAAUUCCAUGUGUAGCGGUGAAAUGCGUAGGAAUAUGGAGAAACACCGGUGGCGAAAGCGGCUCUCUGGUCUGUAACUGACGCUGGGGCUCGAAAGCGUGGGGGGCGAACAGG
rnacentral:rRNA from 1 species